rnacentral:rRNA from 1 species
UACGAAGGGGGCUAGCGUUGCUCGGAAUCACUGGGCGUAAAGCGCACGUAGGCGGAUUGCUAAGUCAGGGGUGAAAUCCUGGAGCUCAACUCCAGAACUGCCUUUGAUACUGGUGAUCUUGAGUCCGGGAGAGGUGAGUGGAACUGCGAGUGUAGAGGUGAAAUUCGUAGAUAUUCGCAAGAACACCAGUGGCGAAGGCGGCUUUCUGGACAGAUACCGACGCUGAGGCACGAAAGCUAGGGGAGCAAACAGG